rnacentral:rRNA from 1 species
CCUACGGGUGGCAGCAGUGAGGAAUAUUGGUCAAUGGGCGAGAGCCUGAACCAGCCAAGUCGCGUGAAGGAUGAAGGAUCUAUGGUUUGUAAACUUCUUUUAUAUGGGAAUAAAGUGAGGAACGUGUUGCUUUUUGUAUGUACCAUAUGAAUAAGCAUCGGCUAACUCCGUGCCAGCAGCCGCGGUAAUACGGAGGAUGCGAGCGUUAUCCGGAUUUAUUGGGUUUAAAGGGUGCGUAGGUGGUUAGUUAAGUCAGUGGUGAAAGUUUGUGGCUCAACCGUAAAAUUGCAGUUGAAACUGGUAGUCUUGAGUAUAUUAGAGGUAGGCGGAAUGCGUGGUGUAGCGGUGAAAUGCUUAGAUAUCACGAAGAACUCCGAUUGCGAAGGCAGCUUACUAGACUGUAACUGACACUGAGGCUCGAAAGUGUGGGUAUCAAACAGGAUUAGAUACCCGAGUAGUC